rnacentral:rRNA from 1 species
AAGUCAUCAUGGCCCUUACGGCCAGGGCUACACACGUGCUACAAUGGUCGGUACAAAGGGUUGCCAAGCCGCGAGGUGGAGCUAAUCCCAUAAAACCGAUCGUAGUCCGGAUCGCAGUCUGCAACUCGACUGCGUGAAGUCGGAAUCGCUAGUAAUCGUGAAUCAGAAUGUCACGGUGAAUACGUUCCCGGGCCUUGUACACACCGCCCGUCACACCAUGGGAGUGGGUUGCUCCAGAAGUAGCUAGUCUAACCGCAAGGGGGACGGUUACCACGGAGUGAUUCAUGACUGGGGUGAAGUCGUAACAAGGUAGCCGUAGGGGAACCUGCGGCUGGAUCACCUCCUUA